UACGUAGGGUGCUAGCGUUGUCCGGAUUUAUUGGGCGUAAAGAGCUCGUAGGCGGCCUGUUGCGUCCGCUGUGAAAGCCCGGGGCUUAACCCCGGGUCGGCAGUGGAUACGGGCAGGCUAGAGGUAGGUAGGGGAGAAUGGAAUUCCCGGUGUAGCGGUGAAAUGCGCAGAUAUCGGGAGGAACACCGGUGGCGAAGGCGGCGACCUGGACAAGCACUGACACUCAACUACGAAAGCGUGGGGAGCAAACAGG
rnacentral:rRNA from 1 species